GAGCGGGGAUCAGCCGAAGUCGGGAGAGGGGCGCUUCCACGGGGCGGGAAACUGGCGCGCGACUCUGGGGGAAGUGCAGGAUGGGGGGACAGGGGCGCUCCCGCGGGGGUGGAUGGGGGACCAUAGCGGGGCUGGCGGGGCAGGGGCCGGCGCACGAGGCUGGAGGAGGGGAGCGCGCGCUUCUACCCGGGCUGGGUCGCCGAGUCCACAGCCUCGAAGCCAUGGGUUCUCCCCGGCCCUCUGAAGCCGCCACACCUGUGCCAGCCGGCCGCGUCCUCAGACCUUUCCCCGCGGAGUCUUCCCAGCACUUGGAGACGCAGCGCAGGGCCCCGAGGACGGCCUGGCCCGGAGAAAAGAUACCGAAGCUCCAACUUUCCCCAACCCCGCUCCCCUCCUCCUUCCACCCUCCCUUCCCGCCCCCAAAGCUCGGGGGUCCUAUCCCUCCUCCGGUCCGCGGAGUCUCCCGAACCCUGCGGGGACCCGGCGCUCGGCGGUGCCCUCCUGGGGCGCACGGGGCUGGGGCGGGAGCGAGGAGACCAGGUGGGGAGGGGACCCCAGAUCUCAGACGCCAGGGGAGACGGCGUUUCCCGCUGUUCAUUCAGGUUUGUGCCAAAAGGAGCCUCACAGAUGCAGUAUUGGGUUUGGUAGACUCAAAUCGUCUUGUUUUAAUGUAAAUGAAAUCCUUCGACCCAGGCACGAGCGCCCAUCGCGGAGGCCACGAUGCCCGUUUUAUUCCCUCUCCACGGCAAGGAAAAGCAGCGAAAUCUGAGGUCUUCAGAGGUUAACCCUAUCUAGGAGCAGAAUGUGACGCAUUGUAAACAAAUAAAUAUUGAAAACUCGAUGUUAAACACUUUACUUUUUCUGACUCCGACUUGCUUGACCCCUGAGCAGACCUGGGUUUCGAACACAGACGCCCUUCCCCAUUUCUCUAUUCUCUGUAUUCCUGUUUCACCUUCACGGCAGUCUGCCAGCACUUCUUAGCACUCAGUUUAACCAGAGGACAAGCUCUUGAAUAGCAAAAACCAGGUCUUUUUAUACGUGGCACAGUGGCUGUUACAAAAUAUGCUUCUUGGGUGAAUUGGUAAAAAAUAUUGUAUUACUUUUUAUUUGUAGCAAAACCUAGAAUAAGAAAAAGUACAAGAGAUUAUUGUUUGCCUUUAAAUUGCAUUUUUAAAAGAGCGUGCAUAUAAUCUCUGAGAAAUUAAAUGUCUACAAAUAGCACAAAGAUAUUGUCUCAUUACCUUGCAAAGGGACAUUCUAUUCCAGGGCCUGAAGAAGGAAAAACAGCGUGUUGCAUGCAUAAAUGUUGACUUUGAGAGACAAGUUUUUGUUAAAAUUUUAUCGUUAAAUGAAUAGACACAUAUAUUUUUGUUUUUCAGACCAAAGGUAAUUGUUAAUUCAUUUGUAAAAUAAUGUAGUUUUGGCUAACAAUCUCUGGAAUCCUUUCUAUAAUAAAAUUUUGUGAUUCCAGGACGUCGUAGGCGCUCUGGGGCUGCUUUUGAAAGGCUA
rnacentral:lncRNA from 1 species